rnacentral:rRNA from 1 species
AACGGGACUCAGCCCUUCGGGACUGAGUUUAGUGGCGAACGGGUGAGUAACGCGUGAGGAACCUGCCUUUCAGUGGGGGACAACAGUUGGAAACGACUGCUAAUACCGCAUAAUGCUUUUUAAUGGCAUCAUUGAAAAGCCAAAGAUUUAUUGCUGAAAGAUGGCCUCGCGUCUGAUUAGCUGGUUGGUGGGGUAACGGCUCACCAAGGCGACGAUCAGUAGCCGGUCUGAGAGGAUGAACGGCCACAUUGGGACUGAGAUACGGCCCAGACUCC